rnacentral:rRNA from 1 species
UGGGGAAGCAAAGAGGGACAGAGGAAGCCGAGUUGGGUUUCAUGGAGCACUAUGACAAGGCCGAAGCAUUGUGGGGGGCUGGACUUCCGUGAUAUAAAACUUUUCAACCUAGCUCUUCUUGCAAGGCAGGCGUGGAGGGUGAUGAUGGACCCAGAGUCACUGAGUGCUCGAGUGUUGAAGGCAAAAAUACCAUGUCAAUGUUGAUUUUUGCAAGCUGAGCUGGGGACGGCGCCAUCUCAAAUUUGGAGAGCUAUUCUUAAAGGCUGCGACGUUCUUACCCAAGGUUUAAUCCACCGUAUUGGGACUGGAGAAAAUACUAUGAUCUGGCAACAGAAUUGGCCACCAAGAGCUCACAACAUGAGGUCGACCGUUAGUAGAAUCCAAAACCCACCGUCAAGGGUUGCUGAACUCAUACUUUUGGGAGAUGAAUGGAACAUAACCUUGAUUGACGAUGUGUUUUUACCCACGGAUGCGUGGGCCAUUUACGCGACCCCGUUAUGCACAAGAUAUAUAGGAAAUUUUUGGGACUGGGUACAUGAGAAGAAUGGAAUCUUCUCUGUCCGCUCGGCUUAUCGCAUGCUCGUAGACACGAAGAUGAGGAGGGAGGCCUGGCUCGAGGGACGGGCUGAUGUUUCGAACAAUGAAGGCGAGUAG